rnacentral:rRNA from 1 species
AUACGGAGGGGACAAGCGUUAUUCGGAAUCACUGGGCGUAAAGGACGCGUAGGCGGGUUAUUAAGUCGGGUGUGAAAUCCAAUGGCUCAACCAUUGAACUGCAUUCGAAACUGAUAACCUAGAGUAUGGAAGGGGCAGGUGGAAUUAGUGGUGUAGGGGUAAAAUCCGUAGAUAUCACUAGGAAUACCGAAAGCGAAGGCGACCUGCUGGGACAUUACUGACGCUGAGGCGUGAAAGCGUGGGUAGCAAACGGGAUUAGAAACCCUAGUAGUCC